rnacentral:rRNA from 1 species
AACGAACGCUGGCGGCAGGCUUAACACAUGCAAGUCGAGCGCCCCGCAAGGGGAGCGGCAGACGGGUUAGUAACGCGUGGGAAUCUACCCAUCCCUACGGAAUAGCUCCGGGAAACUGGAAUUAAUACCGUAUACGCCCUACGGGGGAAAGAUUUAUCGGGGAUGGAUGAGCCCGCGUUGGAUUAGCUAGUUGGUGGGGUAAAGGCCUACCACGGCGACGAUCCAUAGCUGGUCUGAGAGGAUGAUCAGCCACAUUGGGACUGAGACACGGCCCAAACUCCUACAGGAGGCAGCAGUGGGGAAGAUUGGACAAUGGGGGCAACCCUGAUCCAGCCAUGCCGCGUGAGUGAUGGAGGCCUUAGGGUUGUAAAGCUCUUUCACCGGGGAAGAUAAUGACGGUACCCGGAGAAGAAGCCCCGGCUAACUUCGUGCCAGCCGCCGCGGUAAUAC